rnacentral:rRNA from 1 species
AAGCUCGUAGUUGAAUUUCGGGAUCAAAUUGUCGGUCGUGCCUCGGUACGUACUGGCGUUAUUGGUUCCUCCCUUCUGAAGAACCGCGAUGUCAUUAAUUUGGUGUCGCGGGGAAUCAGGACUGUUACUUUGAAAAAAUCAGAGUGUUUAAAGCAGGCUCGCGCUUGAAUACAUUAGCAUGGAAUAAUGAAAUAGGACGUUUGAUUCUAUUUUGUUGGUUUCUAGGAUCGACGUAAUGAUUAAUAGGGAUAGUUGGGGGCAUUAGUAUUCAAUUGUCAGAGGUGAAAUUCUUGGAUUUAUUGAAGACUAACUACUGCGAAAGCAUUUGCCAAGGAUGUUUUCAUUAAUCAAGAACGAAAGUUAGGGGAUCGAAGACGAUCAGAUACCGUCGUAGUCUUAACCAUAAACUAUGCCGACUAGGGAUCGGAUGAUGUUAAUUUUUUAAUGACUCAUUCGGCGCCUUACGGGAAACCAAAGUGUUUGGGUUCCGGGGGGAGUAUGGUCGCAAGGCUGAAACUUAAAGGAAUUGACGGAAGGGCACCACCAGGGGUGGAGCCUGCGGCUUAAUUUGACUCAACACGGGGAAACUCACCAGGUCC